GUCCUUUUGUUUUGUUUGGAAGGUCUGGCCUGCCCAGUGAAAUAAUUUAACGGCCGCGGUAUUUUGACCGUGCAAAGGUAGCAUAAUCAUUAGUCUUUUAAUAGGGGGCUGGAAUGAAAGGUUUAACGAAACAUAUACUUUCUUAUUUGAAUAAGUUGAAUUUAACUUUUGAGUUAAAAGGCUCAAAUUUUUUUGUAGGACGAGAAGACCCUAUAGAGCUUUACAUUAUUUAUUUUUAUUUUUUUUGGUUUAAUUUAAAUGUAGAAAUUUAAAUUUUGUUUUGUUGGGGUGACAAGAAUAUAUGGUUAACUUUUAUUAUAAUUAAAACAUUAAUGUAUGGUUUAUUGGAUCCAUUAAUAUUGAUCAUUAGAUUAAGUUACCUUAGGGAUAACAGCGUAAUCUUCUUUCAGAGUUCAAAUUUACAAGAAGGAUUGCGACCUCGAUGUUGGAUUAAGAUUAUUAUUAGGCGCAAUAGCUUAAUUAGUAGGUCUGUUCGACCUUUAAAUUCUUACAUGAUCUGAGUUCAGACCGG
rnacentral:rRNA from 1 species